AGGACGUAGCCAGCCUUCCUGAUAAGUUUGUUGAUGCUGUUGACGACCGCAGCCUUCGCCCGGCUGCCCCGACACACGGCAGCGAACAAGAUGGCACUGGCUACCACCGAAUGGUAGAACAUCUGCAGCAUCUCACUGCAGAUGUUGAAGGUGGGGAGCCCUCUCAUUAAGUACA